ensembl:lncRNA
GGAUUAGCUCGGCCUUCUCCGCUUCCCUCUUGGCCUUCUAGCCACAGGCCUUCGCGCGGCCGGCUCAUCGAGGAGCGGUUCAGUCCCGGGGCCAAUGGCCUGUGGCCGGAAUGGUUGAAUUCACAGCUCCUGUCUUUCAGGUGAAGCUGAAUGCGCUCGUGGCUGCCAAAGAAGAGCCAAUUCUGGCCUUGGCUAAUGGCACAUUUUACCUCUGUAACCACAGUGGCUCGUUCGGUGAUGGCCAUGUGCUUCCAACCAAGCCAAUCAGGGUCAAGGAGAUACCACUCUGGUCUCCUGGGGAGGCAGACCAGCUCUUGUGCGAACGAGGCUAUAACUAGCAGAUGUGUCUUGGUUUCAGUAUUUGAGGGCCAAAACAUUCCAGGCUGAUAGCUCUAAGUUGCUAAGAGCUGGAGAGAGUGAUUGUCACCUGAGGGGUAAGGAGCUGAUGAAAGCUAGUCAGACUUCCCAGAUGACCAGAACGCCUCUUGCCUGCACACAGUCCUGCCCAAGUGGACUAUAACGGACUGGUGAGAAGUGAGCCAUUUCGGGCCAGCAUUAAAUGAGUGGGUGACCCUAGAAGAUGUGUCCCAGUGGGUCAAGACCCCACUGCAGCUGCCAGAAGGGUGCUAAUGACGUCCUCCAACUCUUGGCCCUUCCACAGAAGAAGAAGGGGUGCGGUUUGUAAAGGUGCUUACAGCUGAGCUGGACGCCACCGUCAGCCUGAGUAGGCACGCUCUGGCUGCUGCCUCUGAGCCACCGGCAGUGCUUUCCCAGGCCUGCUGUUUCUGAGAAAGUUACUCCUUUCAGGCUGCUGAGCUGGAUCUGUGUCACCUCAGACCUCUGUUUUUUUGUGGACAUGCGUGUGGGCGAUCCAGUGGGAGGAACUAGGAGACCUGGGACAGAGGCCUGAGUGAUUCCAGCAGCACGGAAUCCUUCUGAAACAUUGAUACUCAAGUCUGCAUAAAGUUCAGAGUUUCUUUGUUUUCUGUUUGUCACAAAGUGUCUUUCUCUCCAGCAAGUCAAAGUGAAGAAAAAAAUGGCUUGAGCUAUUGUGAACUGCAAGAGGCAAAACCCCAGUUAAGUCCCAAGUUAUGAACCGGGAGCCUCCCAGGGCCUUGUGGGACCAUGAGAGUCAAGUCUUGGGCAAAUAUAUUGUUCUUUUAGCAAUCGAGACCAACAGCAUCGCCUCUCCUCUGUGACCACUGAAGGCUAGUGGGGUGCAGCUCUGGAGAAUUCAGGUGACUGCUUUUACCCCAUGUCCACUGGAGACCCACUGGACUCUUCUCCAAGGUUCAGCCUUUGGGGAUCUUUCAGGGCACCCCUAAGAAAGAGGGCAAACUUCCUGACUUGACUCCCAGAGGAGUGAUAGGGGCUGGCCAGCUGGGGACACGGCCUCUUGUGGGAGAAACCCUUCUCCUCUGGUU